rnacentral:rRNA from 1 species
GAACGCUGGCGGCGUGCUUAACACAUGCAAGUCGAACGCUGAAGCACCAGCUUGCUGGUGUGGAUGAGUGGCGAACGGGUGAGUAAUACGUGAGUAACCUGCCCUUGACUCUGGGAUAAGCCCGGGAAACUGGGUCUAAUACUGGAUGCUACAUGUCACCGCAUGGUGGUGUGUGGAAAGGGUUUACUGGUCUUGGAUGGGCUCACGGCCUAUCAGCUUGUUGGUGAGGUAAUGGCUCACCAAGGCGACGACGGGUAGCCGGCCUGAGAGGGUGACCGGCCACACUGGGACUGAGACACGGCCCAGACUCCUACGGGAGGCAGCAGUGGGGAAUAUUGCACAAUGGGCGAAAGCCUGAUGCAGCGACGCCGCGUGAGGGAUGACGGCCUUCGGGUUGUAAACCUCUUUCAGCAGGGAAGAAGCCACAAGUGACGGUACCUGCAGAAGAAGCGCCGGCUAACUACGUG